rnacentral:lncRNA from 1 species
ACUUCUUAAAUAUACAUAUACAUAUACAUAUACUUUCUUGUUUCCUUUUAUUCUUGAAACAAAAAUCAGCUUUAUGAUAAAAGAAUCACAGUCAAUUAAUUUAUAUCGUUUAGGAUGAAAAAAACAUUUAUAUUAACCAGCGGGGUUAGCCUAGUGGUAUUUGAGGGAGCUUCGGUCCCGAUACGGUCCCGGGUUCGAUUCCCACUGGCCACACGGAUAUGAGCUAUGCUUUCGGCUCAUUUGAAUGCCCAGGAGAGGGUCUAUCCGUGGGCUGUACCUCCACCCGGGGGUUAGGUCUGUGUCUUUAAUAGACCCGGGUUUAACCCUUUUUUUUAUCAAAAAAAAAAAAAAAAAAAAACAUUUAUAUUUUCGUUUAAUGUUCCGAGUAUUGUCGUCAUUCUUGUACUAGGUUUGUGUUUAUGAUUUUGUAAUAUAUUACAUUUGUUCCUAACAUAAACAAAUUGGAAUUAAGUUAAAAAAAAAAAAAAAAAAUUGGAAUUUUUAUUUCUGUUUUUCUUCUUCACUGCAGCAUGUUACUUUAGUAAUUAAUAAACUCAGUUGUUAUAGAUAUUUUGUUAUAGUUCAUUUUCACUGAAAUUGCAUAAUAUCGGAUUGAUUUCAUAUAUAAAAUGUCCAUACUAGACCUAUAAAUUUGAACUACCGUAGUUUUGUAGUAGAUCUAUGGAACCGAUUUCCAAAAGGCCUUUUAUGUUAUUUCUUCACCUUUUUUUCUUAUUUAUCAGUACAUAUACGGUCAUGUAUUAUGAAUUCUUAAUUGAUUCAACAAACUCUUUUUCAUCAAUAAUUCAGUUUGUCCCGAGUAAAUUAAUAUGUAAAGCUAUAAAAUUUUUGUGUAAGAAAUAACAAUGAUCCAUCAUUUUACAUGUAAAUUAACAUGAUAUGUUUAGAUUAUCUUUAUAUCAGAUUAUUUACAAUUUUUGUAUGUCUAAAAGUUAAUCAGUGAGUUUUAGAAAUAUAUAAUUAUUACUUUGAAUAUUUUAAUAAUAUGUAAAAAAUUAUCGAAAACAUUUACUUUCACAUCCAAAGAAUACUGUUAUUUUUAUUACAUAAUCCGAGAUUUAUAUAUUUUAUACAUAACAGUAGCCGGGACAAUGGGGAAUAUAAGGCAGGAGAGUCAAAAAGAAAUGCAUUUGUGUAUGGUAAUUCUAAAUAACCAAAAACCUGGAAAAUGUGCGAAGGCAGAUUGUUUAUCUACGUGUAAGAAGCAGACGCAA